rfam:Jatropha curcas cultivar GZQX0401 scaffold119_47, whole genome shotgun sequence.
AUACCUUUCUCGGCCUUUUGGCUAAGAUCAAGUGUAGUAUCUGUUCUUAUCAGUUUAAUAUCUGAUACGUGGGCCAUCGGCCCGCAUGAUAUUAAAUUUAUUUUUUGAGGGGAAGGCCCAUAUCUGUAGCUUGCUACUAGGGCUUCUGAGCGUCGCUUGUGCGUUGCACCUACAGCACUGGCCCGGCGCGCCCCAA